rnacentral:pre_miRNA from 1 species
UGUAUACUUCCUCCGUCUCAUAUCAAGUGACAUUCUAUUAAUGUAUCUAAACGCUUUUUAGGCAUAGAUGCAUUCAUAUUUGAGCAAAUUUGAGUCAAUUAAUAUGGGACGGAGGGAGUAAUAU